AUUGAACGCUGGCGGCAGGCCUAACACAUGCAAGUCGAACGAGUGGCGGACGGGUGAGUAAUGUCUGGGAAACUGCCUGAUGGAGGGGGAUAACUACUGGAACCGGUAGCUAAUACCGCAUACCAUCGGAUGUGCCCAGGUGGGAUUAGCUAGUGGGUGGGGUAACGGCUCACCAAGGCCACGAUCCCUAGCUGGUCUGAGAGGCUGACCGGCCACACUGGAACUGAGACACGGUCCAGACUCCUACGGGAGGCAGCAGUGGGGAAUAUUGCACAAUGGGCGCAAGCCUGAUGCAGCCAUGCCGCGUGUAUGAAGAAGGCCUUCGGGUUGUAAAGUACUUUCAGCGGGGAGGCGGUACCCACAGAAGAAGCCCCGGCUAACUCCGUGCCAGCCGCCGCGGUAAUAC
rnacentral:rRNA from 1 species